rnacentral:rRNA from 1 species
CCCUAUGGGGUGCACCAGGGAGAUCAAGUUUCUUCCCGAACCGCGGAGACGCUGAUGGCCCCUGCUUCCACCUAAGUUGAGGCAGGAGCUUUUUUAUUUAGCGGAGGAAUAAUUGUGGAACAGGUAUGGUUCACUGCGGCGAGUUGGAUCGGCGUGGCGCUGGUGGCCAGCCUCAUUUCCAUUCGCACCGGCAUUUCGGUGGCGCUGGUGGAGAUCUUUUUAGGAUUGCUCGCCGGGACCUUUUUGGGAUUCCAUUCGGCCCCCUGGAGCGAUGUCCUGGCGGCGUUCGGCUCCAUGAUGCUGACUUUCCUGGCCGGAGCCGAAAUCGACCCCGCUUCCUUCAAAAAGCAUCUCAAGCCCAGCCUGGUCAUCGGCUUUGUCUCAUUUUUAUUUCCCUUCCUGGGAGC